rnacentral:rRNA from 3 species
GUUAUAGGGUCAAGCGAACAAGUGCAUGUGGUGGAUGCCUUGGCGAUCACAGGCGAUGAAGGACGCGGUAGCCUGCGAAAAGCUUCGGGGAGCUGGCAAACGAGCUUUGAUCCGAAGAUGUCC